rnacentral:rRNA from 1 species
GGGGGGGGGGGGGGGGGGGGGGGGGGGGGGGGGGGCGGGGGGUGAGGGCGGGUGGGGGGCUGGGGGGUGGGGAGCGGGGGAGUAGUGCAGCGGAACGUGGCUAGGAGUGGGGGAUAACUACGCGAAAGGGUGGCUAAUACCGCAUGAGAUGUAAGGAUGAAAGCAGGGGGCCUUCGGGCCUUGCGCGCCGAGAGCGGCUGAUGGCAGAUUAGGUAGGUGGUGGGAUAAAAGCUUACCAAGCCGACGAUCUGUAGCUGGUCUGAGAGGACGACCAGCCACACUGGGACUGAGACACGGCCCAGACUCCUACGGGAGGCAGCAGUGGGGAAUUUUGGACAAUGGGCGCAAGCCUGAUCCAGCAAUGCCGCGUGCAGGAUGAAGGCCUUCGGGUUGUAAACUGCUUUUGUACGGAACGAAAAGCCCUCUUCUAAUACAGGAGGGUCAUGACGGUACCGUAAGAAUAAGCACCGGCUAACUACGUG